rnacentral:piRNA from 1 species
UGCAGCAUUCUUUAUCAGAGGACUACA